CCAAAUUUGACCUGAAACACAUGAACUCCAAAUUCCAAACAAGCCAACAAACACAAACACAAACACGUUCUCAUCUUUCUUUACCCAAGGUUUGGCCACCAAACAGUCAAACACAUACCUUCUCCUUCUCGGCUCCGCCUUCUUCUCCGACGACUAUGCCUUUGCUCACGUCGCCAUUCGUCCAUUCGUCGCCGAAAACCCCUCAGGUCCAUGCUUCCAUUGAUUUCUUGAUCCGCGAGGAGCUUCGGCGUCCUUCUUCUUUGUUGAAUUUUCCUGUUGAUUUUUUUCCAAAUUCGAUUGACUAUGGUGGUGGUGAAGGAGGAGGCGGGUGCUCUUUUAGGGCUCUGUUUGAGGUCGCUCUCUUCGUUCGAGUUUGCUUCUUUUUGAGCUGCGCAGGGCUCGAAUUGUUUUCCUUGGGAGCGAUUCGGUCUCUUUCUGUGGAGAAUUGGCUCUUGUGGUAGGCUGUGCUGGGAGGGUGGGGGGAUUGGAUUGGUCCUUACUACGCGUCUGGAGUCGCGUCGCGCGGGGUUUCGGGUUCUCGAAAGAACGUCGAGAAACGAUGCGCCGUCUUUUUAAAGCAGUUCGAAUUCUUGCGGCGGAUGGGUUAAUCCGUCUUUUUUUUUGGCUUCUGUUUGGAAGGAAAUCUUGGGACUCUAGGCUGAGCUGAGGUAGUGAUGUAGGCAUUCUUGAGUUUAUGCGGUCUAGCUGUGUUUCGGUAUUGUUCUUAGCAUGUGGGCUAGCCUUUGCUGGUGAUGGGGUAGUAGUAGGUAACCCCAUAUGAUCUUAGAGAUGUUGGGAAGACUUGUUAUAUUAGGUGGUGGAUGAAACUAGAGGUUCUGUGAUGUAGAUAUUUUAGUGCACAAGUUGCAAACAGAGUUCAGGACACUUAGAAUUUACUCUGUGCGGGAGAGCUGUUGGUGUCUGCUCUGUAUCUUGAAAGGAUUCCAUCCAUCAUAAACAAAUUGUCCAUUGUAAUUUUUUUUUUAAAUAAAUGAUCAAAUCAUGUCAUAGGCAUACUCAUUUGAUGCUAAUUUUUCAAUGUAAGCAUGAUUGGAAUAUACCUCAGGUGCAUAUGACUUUGCUAACAGAGCCACUGCGUGUUUUCAAGAAUUAACUCCUAAUCAACUCCAAGCAGGUCAGACAUUGGAGCCUCUCAGUCGUUUUACUAUAUUUUCUUACUAGUCACAAAAGGUACUUGAUAGGCUGUCAAUGCAUGGAAAGAGGAUAACGUUUCAUCACUGGUUGAUAAGAAGAAUCCUGACAUACUUUCAAUUUCCUAUUAGCUCUUAGCAAGAAAUUCUCUGUGAAAAAGAAGAAAGGAAAGCUUUGGAAGGCAUGGGAUGGGAGCAAAGUCAUCUAUAACGUAGCAUCCUGGGGGGCAACAACCAUUGGGACCUAUCAGAACCCAGUACUUCUUAGGGCUGCCUCAAAUGCCUUUUGGACUUCUUGUCAUGUUAUAUCAAAGCUUCUCUGAUCUUCACGAUCUGCCUGAAGAGAAGCUUAAUUAGUUCAUUCCAUGCCCAUGCUGCCAAUGCAGCCUGAUGUUGUCCACCUUGUUUGACAUUAGUGCAUUAAUUAGGCUUUCCAGUUUGAUUUAUUACCCUCUAGUGUCACCAAAAUCAUGUAAAUGAGUAACUGUUCUAUAUUUCAAGUUUGGACACAAAUGCGAUGUAAAAUUUGUCUGUUAUUGAAUGCAGAACUGGUCUUACACUUUCUCUCAGUACUUCGCAGUGUUAAGAACACAUGCACUCAGCAUGAAUCAGGCCUUACAACUCCAUUUACAUACAGUGCCUAUUUGUGUUGCAGAGCCCAUCAGAAACAUACAACUGCCAAGCCAUCCUCCUUGCUUGAUUCAGCUAUGUACCCUCAGUCAUUAUGUGAUUCAAGAUCUUCCAUCUUGAAUUCAGACUCUUUUUACUCUUGAAAAUCUUGAACGCCUCGAGUAUUGUCAUGUCAAGGGGGGACUUGAUCGAUAAUUUUUUUCAUCGAUUGGACCCCCCCGGCAAUAAAUAAUUUCUUUAUUUACUCAGAGAGUCCAUCCAUCUCAUGAAACUCUAUUCAUUGCAUUUUUUUUUUUGGUCGAAAGUAAUAUAUAUGUAUUAUAUUAAGAAGUCUUAGAACACAACGACGAUUUACAAUAUGAUACUAAAAUAUCCCAGAGAGAUAGAGGGGGUAUAUGCACCCAAUUUAAAGGAAGUUUCUUUGCUCGGUGUGUGCGUACCAGCCAAUCGGCAGCUUUGUUUGCCUCCCGGGGACAAUAGUUUACUGAUACGUUUGUGCAUAGGGAAAGCUGUUGUCGGCAACGUUGAAUAAUGUCUUGUAGAUGCCAGGGUAUCUCGGCCCGGCCCAUGACAAAAUCCACCACCGCUAAACUGUCACUUUCACAGAUAAAGUGAACGGCUUGAGUUCGUGCGUCUUGCACGUGAGUCGGCUUCCAGUUUGUGAGGUAACAUAACCUGUGUAGAAGGGCUUCUGCUUCUGCAUGUGCGGAUGAAGAAACCCUAGCUUCCGCUGCAAAGCCGUCGACAACACACCCCUUUUCAUCCCUGGCGAUUCCGGCAACAGAACAAAGGAAUUCUCCUGGUACCCAUGACGCGUCUACGUUCAAUUUUACCUCACGAUUUCCCGGUGGUGUCCGGUCCUCUGAUCAAGGAUAUCCACUGGGUUGGGAGCCUUUGCUCUGAAGAUCGAGGAGUUUCGAGCCUUCCAGAUUUGCCAUAGAACCCCUGCGAUGAACUGCCGAUCAGAGAUUCUCCCUUGUGGGAACGACGUUUUGACAAAUGCUCCAAAGAAAGGUUCGGAUUUUCAGUGGGACAGAGAGACUCCAGAUCUGUGUCCAUAGAGUUCGUGGGGGCUGG